rnacentral:lncRNA from 1 species
GCCAGCAUCCCUGUGGAAUGCUUUUGACACCUUGUAGAGUCCAUGACCUGACGAAUUGAGGCUGUUCAGAGGGGAUGCUGGCCCAUGUUGACUCCAAUGCACACAGUUGUGUCAAGUUGGCUGAAUGUCCUUUGGAUGGUGGACCAUUGUUAAUACACACGGGACACUGUUGAAAAAUCCAGCAGCGUUGCAGUUCUUCACACACUUAAACUGGUGCACCUGGCGCCUACUACCAUACCUCGUUCAAAGGCACUUAAAUAUUUUGUCUUGCCCAUUGACCCUCUGAAUGGCACACAUACACAAUCCAUGUCUCAACUGUCUCAAGGCUAAAAAAAUCCUUCUUUUACCUGUCUCUUCCCUUCAUCUACACUGAUUGAAGAGGAUUUAACAAGUGACUUCAAUAAGGGAUCAUAUCUUUCACCUGGUCAGUCUAUGUCAUGUAAAGAUCAGGUGUUCUUAAUGUUUUGUACACUGUAUAAUCUGUCAAUGGGCUGCAGGGCAGACAAUCCUUUUCAGUCGGUAGAGGAGAGUGGCCUUGCCUUGAGAUAAUACAACCACAUCUUCAUUAAAUAGUUAAGAGUUGAAUUCCACCUACAGUAGGACUCCUAUUAGCUGAAUACUACCAUGAGAUAUAAUAAGCCCUGUUUAUAUAAAACCUUAUCCAUUCCUCAGCCCUUCCACCUCCAUUUAAACCACAUGUCAACUACUUCAGCAUUACAUUUGACUAUUCACAUGAUUCAGGAGCGAUUAACAAGUCAGGGGCAAUAAGGAGCAAUCUGCUGAACACUAAAUACCUUGGAGUCAGGGGCAAUAAGGAGCAAUAUCCUAAAAACUCAAAGACCAACCUCUAACAAGAAAAAUGAGAUGAUUAAUAGACAGAGAAUCAUUACAAAAAUUAUUUGAUUUGCAAAACUUCCUUUAAAUGAAUACCUCUUGGGCUCUAUUAUAAUGAUACUGCCCCGAGAAGCCAUUUCCCAUCUCUCCUCUGUCUGUGAGGUGUGAGAGAGACAAUCCACCUUUUUCACUAGGCUGUGAGCCCCAUCUCAGCCACCAGAACCAAAUCUCUCACUGGCCAAGAGACUACUGUUAGCCAGGCUGGCUACGAUAUGUAGGCUAAUUUGUAAACGUCACGCGCUGCGUCCCUUAAGUGUCUGUUGUCGCCGCUGGGGCUGUAGUCAGAGACUAAGUCCUGCUGGUCGUCUGACGGUGUAGAAGGUUCCGGAGAGUCUGGUCUGUCCAUUCGCUCAGUGUCCUCUGACUGGGAUGAUGACUCGGUGUCUGUGCUGUUGAAUCCAAGGAUCUCAACCACUGAGUUUGGCAAAUCCUACACAGAUAAUAAACAUAAGAUUAAAGAUCUGGUUGGAACCAUAGGUCAAUACAAG